rnacentral:rRNA from 1 species
AAACCAACAGGGAUUGCCCUAGUAACGGCGAGUGAAGCGGCAACAGCUCAAAUUUGAAAUCUGGCGCAAGCCCGAGUUGUAAUUCUGUAGAGGAUGCUUCUGGGCAGCGGCCGGUCUAAGUUCCUUGGAACAGGUCGUCAUAGAGGGUGAGAACCCCGUAUGUGACCGGCGCGCACCCUCCACGUAGCUCCUUCGACGAGUCGAGUUGUUUGGGAAUGCAGCUCUAAAUGGGAGGUAAAUUUCUUCUAAAGCUAAAUACCGGCCAGAGACCGAUAGCGCACAAGUAGAGUGAUCGAAAGAUGAAAAGCACUUUGGAAAGAGAGUUAAAAAGCACGUGAAAUUGUUGAAAGGGAAGCGCUUGCAACCAGACUCCGCGGCGGUGUUCCGCCGGUCUUCUGACCGGUCUACUCGCCGCCGUGGGGCCAACAUCGUCUGGGGCCGCCGGAUAAGACCGUUGGAAUGUGGCUCCCUCGGGAGUGUUAUAGCCAGCGGUGAUGCGGCGCGUCUCGGGCGAGGUCCGCGCUUCGGCAAGGAUGUUGGCGUAAUGGUUGCCAGCGGC